rnacentral:rRNA from 1 species
UGGGGAAUAUUGGGCAAUGGGCGCAAGCCUGACCCAGCAACGCCGCGUGAAGGAAGAAGGCUUUCGGGUUGUAAACUUCUUUUGGCAGGGACGAAAAAAAUGACGGUACCUGCAGAAUAAGCUCCGGCUAACUACGUGCCAGCAGCCGCGGUAAUACGUAGGGAGCAAGCGUUAUCCGGAUUUACUGGGUGUAAAGGGAGCGUAGGCGGGAAUGCAAGUCAGAUGUGAAAUCUGAGGGCUCAACCCUCAAACUGCAUUUGAAACUGCGUUUCUUGAGUGGUGGAGAGGCAAGUGGAAUUCCUAGUGUAGCGGUGAAAUGCGUAGAUAUUAGGAGGAACACCAGUGGCGAAGGCGACUUGCUGGACACUAACUGACGCUGAGGCUCGAAAGCGUGGGGAGCAAACA